UGGGGAAUAUUGCGCAAUGGGCGAAAGCCUGACGCAGCGACGCCGCGUGAGGGAUGAAGGUCUUCGGAUCGUAAACCUCUGUCAGGAGGGAAGAAGUGGUUAUAUGCGAAUAGUGUAUGACUUUGACGGUACCUCCAAAGGAAGCACCGGCUAACUCCGUGCCAGCAGCCGCGGUAAUACGGAGGGUGCGAGCGUUAAUCGGAAUCACUGGGCGUAAAGCGCGCGUAGGCGGCUUUUCAAGUCAGGGGUGAAAUCCCACGGCCCAACCGUGGAACUGCCUUUGAAACUGUAGAGCUUGAGUGUCGGAGAGGGUGGCGGAAUUCCAGGUGUAGGAGUGAAAUCCGUAGAUAUCUGGAGGAACACCGGUGGCGAAGGCGGCCACCUGGACGACAACUGACGCUGAGGUGCGAAAGCGUGGGUAGCAAACAGG
rnacentral:rRNA from 1 species